AGGCCUGCGGAACAGCGAAAGCUUCUAACUCCAUUCAGGUCCCGCCAGCUCCAGCUUUUCCUGCCGGGGCCUCUGCAGGUCAACAACCAUACGGUCUGGAAAUACAGUUGGCCCUUGAACAACACGGGUUUGAACUGCACAGGCCCAGUUACGUGUGGUUUCUCCUCCGCCUCUGCCGCCCAAGACAGCCCGACCACCCUCCUCCUCCUCCUCCUCAGCCUGCUCAGCAUGGAGACGACGGGGAUGAAGACCUUCCUGAGGCUCCACUUCCACUUAAUGGAUAGUAAAUAUAUUUUCUUUUCCUUA